CUUUGCCCAGGUACACCAUGCCGUACUCCCUGCCCUGGGGGGUUUUGUACUCCACAGUGAAGCAAACCUCCUUCCCAAUCAGCUUCUUACGCAGGAAUUCCCGGGCCGGGAAGCCCCAUGGCUCAUCCGGGGUAUCCUUGGCGUCGGGCUGCCCCGCAGCGGCGCGCCGUGCCAGGCUGCCCGCGCGGAUGUUGCUGAGGUUGAUCUGCCUUUCGGGGGGGGGUCCUCCCCUGGGCUGCCCCCGCACGAUGAUGGCGCACCCCGAGAGUACC
rnacentral:lncRNA from 1 species